ACACGUAGGGGGCAAGCGUUGUCCGGAAUUACUGGGCGUAAAGGGUGCGUAGGCGGUCUGUUAAGUCGGAUGUGAAAGACCCGGGCUCAACCCGGGAUGUGCAUCCGAGACUGGCGGACUUGAGUGCAGGAGAGGGAAGUGGAAUUUCUAGUGUAGCGGUGGAAUGCGUAGAUAUUAGGAAGAACACCAGUGGCGAAGGCGGCUUUCUGGACUGUAACUGACGCUGAGGCACGAAAGCGUGGGGAGCGAACAGGAUUAGAUACCCUGGUAGUCCACGCCGUAAACGAUGGAUACUAGGUGUAGGUAUCGUAGGAUAUCUGUGCCGGAGUUAACGCAAUAAGUAUCCCGCCUGGGGAGUACGGCCGCAAGGUUGAA
rnacentral:rRNA from 1 species